rnacentral:rRNA from 1 species
GAUGAACGCUGGCGGUGUGCCUAAUACAUGCAAGUCGAGCGAACAGACGAGGAGCUUACUCCUCUGACGUUAGCGGCGGACGGGUGAGUAACACGUGGAUAACCUACCUAUAAGACUGGGAUAACUUCGGGAAUCCGGAGCUAAUACCGGAUAACAUGUUGAACCGCAUGGUUCAACAGUGAAAGACGGUCUUGCUGUCACUUAUAGAUGGAUCCGCGUCGCAUUAGCUAGUUGGUAAGGUAACGGCUUACCAAGGCAACGAUGCGUAGCCGACCUGAGAGGGUGAUCGGCCACACUGGAACUGAGACACGGUCCAGACUCCUACGGGAGGCAGCAGUAGGGAAUCUUCCGCAAUGGGCGAAAGCCUGACGGAGCAACGCCGCGUGAGUGAAGAAGGUCUUCGGAUCGUAAAACUCUGUUAUUAGGGAAGAACAAAUGUGUAAGUAACUAUGCACGUCUUGACGGUACCUAAUCAGAAAGCCACGGCUAACUACGUG